rnacentral:lncRNA from 1 species
AAUAAUGUAAAAGAGUCUCAAAAACAUAAUACUAGAAUAAAUGAAGCUGUACACAGAAGACUAUGCAGAGUAUAAAUUCUCAUGUGAAAUUCUGAAUGAGGGAAAACAUUUUUUGUUCUGAAAACAUGAAACCAUGGAGAACAGCCUUUGUGGAGAUGAGGGUGAGGAUGGAUGCAUGGGGCAGGGGGUACUUCCUGGGGUGGAGUCAUGUUCUACAUCUUGAAGAGGUUUUGUCUUACACAGCUGUGCACAUUGUACCGUACACAUGCAAUGGUACACAGAAGCUCUGUGUAUUCCACUUUGUAUAAAUUUAUCUAUAGAAACAAGAACCAUGAACACAUGUAGAGUGCUAGUUAAUAUUACACAUGCUGAAGUAUUUGGGAUGCUCUGUCAGGGUGUCUGCAACUUGCCUUGAAAAGGAUUGAAAAUAAGAUUAUUUGAUGGACGGAUAGAAACUGAUUAAAACAAAGAAAGCAAACUACUGAUUGUGGAGGUUAGGUGAUAAGUAAUGCUGUAGUAUAAAUAUAUCUCCCAAGUUUCAUGUGUUGAAAAUGUAAUCCCCCAAUUCCCUUGCUGAUCAAAGGUGGGGUUUUGGGGAGCUAAUUGGAAUUAGAUAAAGUCAUCAGGCUGGGGUUACCAUGAUGGGCUUGUGGGGUUGUAAGAUGAAGGAGAGAGACCUGAGUUGACACACAUGCUCUUGCUCUCUCACUGUGUUGCCUUCAACCAUAUCAUGAUGCAGCACAAAGCCCUCCCCAGAAGCUGACCAGACACAGCCACCUGAUCUUGGACUUCACAGCCCCCAGAACUGUAAGAGGUAAAUUUUUCCUUUAUAUCCAGUGUGAGUUAUUCAAUUAUAGCAACAAAAAGCCAACUAAGACAAAAAAUUGGUACCCAGCUGUUGCUAUCAAUACCUGAAAAGGUUGCUGUAAAUACCUGAAAUGUGGAAAUACCUGGAAAGUUUUGGAAAUGACUAAUUGGUAAAGACAUGAAUGGAGCACUAAGGGCAAUUUUGGUGAGGACUUAGAGGAAUACUUCAUGACUAGGGAGAGCCUGAAUCUUCUUAGAGAUUAAGUGGCCAUGACCAAAAUGUUGAUAGGAAUCUGGGCAGUACAGGCCAUUCUGCUGAGGUCUCAGAUGAACUGAGUAACAAGGUAUUGGACACUAGGGUAAAGGCCAUCCUUGCCAUUCUUGUUAUACAGUUGCAAAGGCCUUGGCUGAAUUGUAUCCAUGCUCAAGAGCUUUAUGGAAUGUAGAACUUAAGAGUGAUGAACUAGGAUAUCUGGCAGAACCAUCUAAGGAGCAAAGCAUUCUAACUGCUGCAUGGCUACUUUUAACUGUAGACAGUGGGAUGUGGGAGUUAAAAAAUGACUUGAAAUGGAAUGUAUAAUUAAAAGGGAAGCAGUAUAUAAAGAUUUGAAAAAAAAAAAAAGCCUUUCCAUGCGGUAGAGAAUGAAAGAGCAUUUUCAGCAGAGGAAACCAAGAGUGUGACCAAGUGACUGACUGAUAAGAAAACUAGUGUGGAUAGAACAAAGCCAGAGGCUAUUCAUCAAAACAAUGGGGGAAAAACUCGAAGGCAUUUUAGAGAUCUUUGAUUGCAACACUGUGCAUGACAGCUCAGGUGUCUCCUCCUCUUUUUAUGAAACCAGCAGUUCCAUCACCAGGGCUUCAUCCUAAUGAUCUUUUAAAGUCCUAAUGACCUCUCAAUGGCCUGCCUCCAAUCAAAAUGAAUUCAGCAAUUAAACUUCCAGCACAUACAAUUUCAGCAGAUGAGCUACAGCCUGGGUCCAGUCUCUGAUCCCUGUAUUCUGGUGCAGUAAUGCUUGGCUGCACCAGCUGUGGUUCUAGUGAGUCUAGGUGCAGCUUGACCCACUACCCUGCAAGGUACAAGUCAUAAACCUUGGUGAAGACCAUGGUGUGCUAACUCUGCAGGUGUGCAGAAUGCAAGCAAGAGCUGUGGAGGCACAGCAGCCUCCACUGAGAUUGCAUAGGAUAUAUCAACAACCUGGGGGCCCAUGCAGAGACUUGUGGCAGGGGUGUAGCCACCCCAGAGAGUGCCUACUAGGACAAUGCCUAAUGAGGCUACAGAGUUGGGACCACCACCAGGACCCCACAACUGUAGAGUUCCCAGCAUGCAACACCAGCCUGGAAGCACUGAAGUGUGGACUGAGCCCACCAAAGCCACAGGGGUGGGGCUGCCUAAGGCCUUGCGGGCCCAACCCUUCCACUAGUGUGUCCGGGAGGCAGCACAUAGAGUGAAAGGAUAUUCUGGAGUCUUAAGACUUAAUGUUGUUUUCCCAAUUGGGUUUUGUACUUGGGACCAGUUAUCUGUUCUUCUUUCUUGUUGCUCCCUUUUGAAUGGUAAUAUCUAUCCCAUGCCUGUCCCAUCAUUGUAUUUUGAAAGUAGACAACUCAUUUUGAUUACAAAGGCUCACAGCUGGAUGGGAUUUGCCAUGGGAUGAAUCAUGCCUUGAGUCUCACAUGUAUCUGAUUCAAGUGAGAUUCUGAACUUUGAAUGUUUGAGUUGAUGCCAGAAUGAGUCAAGACAUUGGAGCUAUUGGGAUGGGGGUGAAUGUAUUUUGCAUGUGAGAAGGACAUGAAUUUUAGGGGUGAGGGACUAAUGCUUUGGUUUGAUUGCGUCCUCCAAAUUUUAUGUACUGGAAAUUUAAUCCGUAAAUUCAUAUGUUGAUGGGAGGUGGCCCUGUGCUGGCUGCAUGUGCCAGGCAGUGAGGUGGAUGGGGCCAGUUGCCUUUGAUAAGUGGGGAUCGGGCAGACAUGGCCUUUGGAGAAGGGAGAGGUCUGCAGGGCAGAAAGUGAUUUCCUGGAAGUAACAAGAUGUGCGUUGGACCUUCCUGGUUGGUGUGUGCAUUAUAUGAUAGGUGGAUGAUUCCAAGCCAUUUAUGAGAGGUCCUUCACUCCAUGGUGGUGGCAGGCCCAGCUACGCUGCUCACUGUGAUGUGAGAUUCAGCCAGGUGACCUGAGACCCUCACUGUAGUCUUCCAGGGAGACUGAGAGGGGACACUAAGGGAUUCGCAGCCUGUCCACGCUCUCCUUGAUGCUUCCUCAUGCCCUCCUCACACCGAAAGGGCCCCAUUCUACAGGAGAUGGGCAAGAUGAGGCCAUGUUCCUGGCCGCCUGUGCCUGCUGCCUCUGCAAGGCACAGGCCUCCUGUGCUGCAACCACAGUCAAGGGCUCCAGGAAGUCUACUGCAGAGGCUGUGGAAACAGAGCACUGGAGACUUGAUUUAUUUUCCUUCCCUUUCCUGUUGUCUCCUUCUUAUUACUUGAGAAAUUGUAUAAAAUAAUGAACACCCAUUUCCUCACCACCAGCUUUAGCAAGUUUGAAUAUGUUGUCCGUUGGCUUCAGAUUUUUAAGCAAUCUGAGGAUCUCGCAUACCCCUCCUUGAGGGCAUCCGUGUCCCUCAUCCAGAGAUAGGAACAUUUGUGUCAAGUAUCAAUAAACAAUUGUUCUGCAUCUAUUCCCAUCCUCAAAACAUAAAGUGCUAAUUUGUAGAGUUUUAAAAUGUUACUCUAAAUAAUAUUUAGUAACAUGUUACUCUAAAUAUGAUUGUGCAAUUUGCUUUUGACACAGAAUUGAAUAUUUUUGGAAUUUAAAUAUAUUUAUAAAUGUAUUAGGCUGAAAUCCUUGAAACUGCUGUUAUUGUAGGUUUGAAGCAGUUGAGCAUUAGGAUUUGUACAUCACUCAAUUGCACAGCUCUAGUAAAUCAUUUUUAACUUUAAUUUUAUAUUACAUGAAUCUAUCACAAUUUAUUAAUGCCUUUUACUGCUGGUAGUCAUUUAGGGUGUAUCUAGUUAUCCCCCAUUAUGUUCCCACAAUAAUUAUUAUACAUGUCAACUUGGGAACACUGUAUUGAAAUAUUCUAGAACUGUGCUGUCAAAUGCAGUAUCACUAGCCUUAUAUGGCUAUUUAAAUGGAUUAAAAUUAAACUUAAAUACAAUUAAAAAUUUAGAUCCUCAGUGAGAGGAUUAGCUGCAUUUAAAGUACUGAAUACACACGUG